rnacentral:pre_miRNA from 1 species
UCCGUCCAACAAACGUCCAACGAAAGAUGUCUCAAGUUUGUCAAAAUUUGGUUGUAUCUAGACAUGACUUAGUGUAUAGAUGCAUUCAAAUUUAGUCAAAGUUGAGACAUCCUUUGUUGGACGGAGAAG